UUUUCAUUUUCAACGCUACCACUCUCUUAUUAUCUUCUUCUUCAAAAAAAAAAUAAAAAAACAUAUUUCAAGAUCUACGCUAAAAGAAAAAGGAAAAAUAUCAUCCACUAACUUGAGAACUAAAUAAUACUUCUCUAGUUCUUAAAGAUGAGGGAGAUGAUAAAGAUAUUGAUUUUGAAGAUAAGUAUUAAGAGGAUGAAGGUGUAG
rnacentral:misc_RNA from 1 species